rnacentral:rRNA from 1 species
UACGAAGGGGGCUAGCGUUGCUCGGAAUUACUGGGCGUAAAGGGCGCGUAGGCGGUUCGUUAAGUCUGUCGUGAAAUCCCCGGGCUCAACCUGGGAAUGGCGAUGGAUACUGGCGAGCUAGAGUGUGUCAGAGGAUGGUGGAAUUCCCGGUGUAGCGGUGAAAUGCGUAGAGAUCGGGAGGAACAUCAGUGGCGAAGGCGGCCAUCUGGGACAACACUGACGCUGAAGCACGAAAGCGUGGGGAGCAAACAGG